CCUACGGGUGGUAGCAGUGAGGAAUAUUGGUCAAUGGGCGGAAGCCUGAACCAGCCAAGUAGCGUGCAGGAUGACGGCCCUACGGGUUGUAAACUGCUUUUAUACGGGAAUAACGCGCCUUACGUGUAGUGCUUUGCAUGUACCGUAUGAAUAAGGACCGGCUAAUUCCGUGCCAGCAGCCGCGGUAAUACGGAAGGUCCGGGCGUUAGCCGGAUUUAUUGGGUUUAAAGGGAGCGUAGGCCGGAUGUCACGCCUGCGGUGACAUGUCCGGGCUCAAGCCGGGCCUUGCAGCGCGAACUGGGGUGCUUGAGUGCGCGGAAAGCAGGCGGAAUUCGUCGUGUAGCGGUGAAAUGCUUAGAUAUGACGAAGAACCCCGAUUGCGAAGGCAGCUUGCUGCAGCGGAACUGACGCUGAUGCUCGAAAGCGCGGGUAUCGAUCAGGAUUAGAUACCCCAGUAGUC
rnacentral:rRNA from 1 species